UUUUAGUUCAUGCUUUCAUCUCACGGGUUGAAGGUUUAUGGUUGUUAGUUACCAUAUCAGCUGCAUAGUAGAAAUUAUCGCGGAAGGGAAGAGUGCGAUCGGUAAGGAUGUUAUGGAGAUAAAGAAGGCAUAUGAAAGUAAGCAAAAAGAAAAAAUCCAGAUUCAUUCAUACUGGCGUCUUUUGAUUAUAUUGGGAAA